rnacentral:rRNA from 1 species
UGGGGAAUAUUGCACAAUGGGCGCAAGCCUGAUGCAGCCAUGCCGCGUGUGUGAAGAAGGCCUUCGGGUUGUAAAGCACUUUCAGCGAGGAGGAAGGUGGUGAGCUUAAUACGCUCAUCAAUUGACGUUACUCGCAGAAGAAGCACCGGCUAACUCCGUGCCAGCAGCCGCGGUAAUACGGAGGGUGCAAGCGUUAAUCGGAAUUACUGGGCGUAAAGCGCACGCAGGCGGUUUGUUAAGUCAGAUGUGAAAUCCCCGGGCUCAACCUGGGAACUGCAUUUGAAACUGGCAAGCUAGAGUCUCGUAGAGGGGGGUAGAAUUCCAGGUGUAGCGGUGAAAUGCGUAGAGAUCUGGAGGAAUACCGGUGGCGAAGGCGGCCCCCUGGACGAAGACUGACGCUCAGGUGCGAAAGCGUGGGGCAGCAAACAGGAUUAGAUACCCUGGUAGUCCACGCUGUAAAACGAUGUCGAUUUUGGAGGUUGUGCCCCUUGAGGCGUGGCUUCCGGAGCUAACGCGUUAAAUCGACCGCC